rnacentral:rRNA from 1 species
CGAGUUUGAUCUUGGCUCAGAUUGAACGCUGGCGGCAUGCCUUACACAUGCAAGUCGAACGGUAACAGGUCUUCGGAUGCUGACGAGUGGCGAACGGGUGAGUAAUACAUCGGAACGUGCCUAGUAGUGGGGGAUAACUACUCGAAAGAGUGGCUAAUACCGCAUGAGAUCUACGGAUGAAAGCAGGGGAUCGCAAGACCUUGUGCUACUAGAGCGGCCGAUGGCAGAUUAGGUAGUUGGUGGGAUAAAAGCUUACCAAGCCGACGAUCUGUAGCUGGUCUGAGAGGACGAUCAGCCACACUGGGACUGAGACACGGCCCAGACUCCUACGGGAGGCAGCAGUGGGGAAUUUUGGACAAUGGGCGCAAGCCUGAUCCAGCAAUGCCGCGUGCAGGAUGAAGGCCUUC